GACGAACGCUGGCGGCGUGCUUAACACAUGCAAGUCGAACGGUAAGGCCCUUCGGGGUACACGAGUGGCGAACGGGUGAGUAACACGUGGGUGAUCUGCCCUGCACUUCGGGAUAAGCCUGGGAAACUGGGUCUAAUACCGGAUAGGACCACUGCCUGCAUGGGUGGUGGUGGAAAGCUUUUGCGGUGUGGGAUGGGCCCGCGGCCUAUCAGCUUGUUGGUGGGGUGAUGGCCUACCAAGGCGACGACGGGUAGCCGGCCUGAGAGGGUGACCGGCCACACUGGGACUGAGAGACGGCUCAGACUCCUACGGGAGGCAGCAGUGGGGAAUAUUGCACAAUGGGCGCAAGCCUGAUGCAGCGACGCCGCGUGAGGGAUGACGGCCUUCGGGUUGUAAACCUCUUUCAGCACCGACGAAGCGCAAGUGACGGUAGGUGCAGAAGAAGGACCGGCCAACUACGUGCCAGCAGCCGCCGUAA
rnacentral:rRNA from 1 species